rnacentral:rRNA from 1 species
AUUGAACGCUGGCGGCAGGCCUAACACAUGCAAGUCGAACGAGCGGCGGACGGGUGAGUAAUGUCUGGGGAACUGCCUGAUGGAGGGGGAUAACUACUGGAAACGGUAGCUAAUACCGCAUACCAUCAGAUGAACCCAGAUGGGAUUAGCUUGUAGGUGGGGUAACGGCUUACCGAGGCGACGAUCCCUAUGUGGUCUGAAAGGAUGAUCAGCAACACUGGAACUGAGACACGGUCCAGACUCCUACGGGAGGCAGCAGUGGGGAAUAUUGCACAAGGGGCGCAAGCCUGAUGCAGCCAUGCCGCGUGUAUGAAGAAGGCCUUCGGGUUGUAAAGUACUUUCAGUGGGGAGGCGUUACCCGCAGAAGAAGCACCGGCUAACUCCGUGCCAGCAGCCGCGGUAAUUC